GACGAACGCUGGCGGCGUGCUUAACACAUGCAAGUCGAACGGAGAUUAUUAAUGAAGCUUGCGAUUUAAUAAUCUUAGUGGCGGACGGGUGAGUAACGCGUGGGCAACCUACCCAUAAGCGGGGGAUAACAGUUGGAAACGACUGCUAAUACCGCAUAAGCUAUUGAGGUCGCAUGACCUAAAUAGUAAAGGUGGCGAAAGCUAUCACUUAUGGAUGGGCCCGCGUCUGAUUAGCUAGUUGGUGGGAUAGCAGCCUACCAAGGCAACGAUCAGUAGCCGGCCUGAGAGGGUGGACGGCCACACUGGGACUGAGACACGGCCCAGACUCCUACGGGAGGCAGCAGUGGGGAAUAUUGCGCAAUGGGGGAAACCCUGACGCAGCGACGCCGCGUGAGCGAAGAAGGCCUUAGGGUCGUAAAGCUCUGUUGUAAGGGACGAAUGUUUAUCUGGCGAACAGUCAGAUAAAGUGACGGUACCUUACCAGCAAGCCCCGGUAACUACGUGACC
rnacentral:rRNA from 1 species